rnacentral:rRNA from 1 species
CCUACGGGAGGCAGCAGUGAGGAAUAUUGGUCAAUGGGCGCGAGCCUGAACCAGCCAAGUCGCGUGAAGGAUGACUGCCCUACGGGUUGUAAACUUCUUUUAUAAAGGAAUAAAGUGAGGCACGUGUGCCUUUUUGUAUGUACUUUAUGAAUAAGGAUCGGCUAACUCCGUGCCAGCAGCCGUGGUAAUACGGAGGAUCCGAGCGUUAUCCGGAUUUAUUGGGUUUAAAGGGAGCGUAGGUGGGUUGGUAAGUCAGUGGGGAAAGUUUGCGGCUCAACCGGAAAAGUGCGAUUGAGACUGGCAGUCUUGAGUACAGUUGAGGUGGGCGGAAUGCGUGGUGUAGCGGUGAAAUGCUUAGAUAUCACGAAGAACCCCGAUUGCGAAGGCAGCUUACUGGACGGUGACUGACGUUGAUGCUCGAAAGUGUGGGUAUCAAACAGGAUUAGUUACCCGAGUAGUC